GGUGGAGUGGAGAAGGGGUUAUCUCGUCAGGCUCAUAAUUUGAAGGUCGUUGGUUCGAAUCCAACCUCCACCA
rnacentral:tRNA from 1 species